ACGCUCGACACCUACGGGAUGCAGCAGUUGGGAAUAUUGGACAAUGGAGGAAACUCUGAUCCAGUGACGCCGCGUGAAGGAAGAAGGUCUUCGGAUUGUAAACUUAUUUUGUCAGGGAAGAAAAAAUGACUGUACCUGAAGAAAAAGCACCGGCUAACUACGUGCCAGCAGCCGCGGUAAUCUGAGCGGGCUGGCAAGGC
rnacentral:rRNA from 1 species